rnacentral:tRNA from 1 species
GGACUCAUAGCUCAGUGGUAGAGCGUUCGGCUCAUAACCGAUUGGUCGUAAGUUCAAGUCUUACUGAGUCCA